UCUCAUUUUUCCCGGGCUUUCGGUCGGCGUUUUCGUUUUCUCGCGGGUUUGGGCGCGCAUCGAACUCUGAAGGGUCGGGAAGGCCUGUCGUUGGAAUGUGGUUGAGUUCCAGGGAGUGUACAGGCUGGAGGAUGGGACAAGACCUAUCUCUGUAUCGAUCAAGCACGGCGUUGGUGUUCCAGCUCAUCACCAAUCCUAAGGAAUUCAAGUGCCUCCCAGGAUGAAUACAGGUUGUCUUGAUGGUGAUACAUUCAUCUGUCUUAAGAUCCCUGCUGAUCUGCUCAUGGUCAAACUCAUGGAAAGAGUUGAGAGUGGUGAGUACUUGUAACCUUGGUUAUAACUUGUCUCCAGUGCCAGUGAGGAGAGCAAGCAUCCUGUCUUAACCCCUGUCCUAGCCCCAGAGCCAGUAAUGGUGAACCCACUGGGGCUAACAGGGAGAGAGGAUGAAAACAUGUUCCGUAAGGAACUGUCUGAGGUACAGCAACUUCCAGUGGGUAGCAUUUGUUUAGCUUCCCUUGGCUUACAUAUUAGCUGGGAUCCUUUUGGUUUUUUAAGGUACUCUACUGAUUUCAUGAUCUUCUCAUUCAGGGGCACCUUGUUCCUGCAUCCUCAAAGGAGCAUCUUGUUCCAGAGUUAAAAGGUUCCAGAGUUAAAAGGUUAGUUGAUUAAUGUCACCAUAAUAUAUGCCACCAAGUAAGCAGUUUCUGUGAUGAAUCAAACUAGCUCACUAUGAACUAACAAUGAAAAGAUAUGAACACCUGAGAAACUGGAGAACAGAGCAGUGGGAUACUGUCUGCAAGGAACUUAAUAUCACUUACAGUUUUGUCCUUUCCUAGGUACCUGUACCAUUUAGCGGCUUGUUCACUCAAAGGUGAGUGAUUUAUAUGUUGGCACAUACAGUGUACUGAGGGAGAAAAUGCCUUUUUAGGCAUCUACACAUGAUGACUUACAUGGAAUCUCGUUCGGCUGAUGAUUUGCUGUUGAGACUCGGAAAUCUGAAUUUUUUUUUCUUUUAAGAACUUAAGUGGGAACAAAUUUUAAUGUAGGAAGUAAGCAUUACUGACUCAUUCUUGUUUUGUUUUAGAUCCAUCUUUUCUGGAGCCUGAGGAUGAUUGGAGGUGAAAGGUGUAAGCCAUACUCUGCUCAACUCCAGUCUGAAACUAAGGUUAAAAGAACACGUACUUAACACACGGGUAAGUAAGUAUCCAUUCACGUACUUGUGUUAAAUAUCAGACUAACUAUAUAAAUACAAUGUUCUAAGUCCGUUUUAGUAAGAACCCUAAACUGUUCUUUUUCUCUGCAGGAAUCCAACUCUUGGAGGACAUCAGAAGUGGAAUUUUCUUAUACAACCUACCUAUUCAAAUUAGCAUAUAAUCUUUCUAGCCUUUCUAAAUAAAUAAAGGGAUUUUUUUGUA
rnacentral:lncRNA from 1 species